AUCAGCCGACGAGUUCCGAAUAGGAUGAAACGCGCGUCUUAGAU
rnacentral:hammerhead_ribozyme from 1 species